AUGCUCCUACGGGAGGCAGCAGUGGGGAAUAUUGGGCAAUGGAGGAAACUCUUACCCAGCAAUGCCGCGUGAAUGAAGAAGGACUUCGGAUUGUAAAGUUCUUUAAUUGGGGACGAAAAAAAUGACGGUACCCAAGGAAUAAGCCCCGGCUAACUACGUGCCAGCAGCCGCGGUAAUACGUAGGGGGCAAGCGUUGUCCGGAAUGACUGGGCAUAAAGGGUGCGUAGGCGGCAUAAUAAGUUAGAAGUGAAAUACCCAGAGCUUAACUCGGGUGCUGCUUCUAAGACUGUUGAGCUUGAGUGCGG
rnacentral:rRNA from 1 species